rnacentral:lncRNA from 1 species
GGCCGAGAGCCAAAUCACAACCACCCACCCACUUUCAAAUCCCAUAUUAAUAAACCACAUACACUCAAGUGUGUAAGGUCGCAUACAAGGAAGCCUGGUGCUUGCGGAUUGCCAAGGACCUCUCUACGACGCUAUUAACCACCCAUUUUUCGUCUAGUUUCUUCCCUAGCCUCGAGCUAGUAGAAAUGAAGAUUUCUUCAAAAAUAAAAGUGGAUAUAAGUUACGACGUUAAUUAAGCAAACCCGGUGAAGUUUACGACGCACAGGAACGCAAAGUUGUGAGUUCAUGCUCCCCCUUUUCUCUUAACUGUUUUCAGUUUUAUAACUUCGGGGAUGAAAUACAUGUUACAAAUAUUUCUAUGUUUACAAAUGGUAUGAUAACAAAAAGCACACUUGGUGAGAACGAGUACCAAGUGUGACGAGAUAUAAAAAUACGAGAAACGCACUUGGUGAAAACGAGUACCAAGUAUGAUGCGUUACGAGAAAUGAUACGAGAAAUAGUGUCACGAAUAGGGUACCAUAAGCACCAUUAAUCGUGUACAUACUUAGACCGCAGAACAAAAGGUUAGAUCUAAUGGGUUCAGGGCAGCCCCACUCUUGGUGACAACUAGAACCAAGUAGUGUUUUUGUGUCUCAGUCGUGAAUCGACUACAGAAAAUGCCUAUGGAUUGGUGACUUCCUAUGUCGUGUCAUAUGUUAAUGGCUUUGCAACCCAUUAACACUUGAUACAUAUAGAGAUACUUGUCUCAUUCAUGAAUACGUGAUUUGAAACAAAAUACAUACCAUGUUUUUCAUACAAAGUAUACAAACGUUCAAUACAAAAACUGCAUGAAUUCACACCAACAUUAUGUUGACGUUUUUCCAAAACUCACAUGUAUUUCAGGUAACUAGGAUGGAUGUGCGCGUGGUCUCACUUAUGCUCGUGGAUGUCGCUUGUGUUUGUCUUUAAAUAAAGUGUAAACCUUUUAAGACAAUGUUUUAUGUUAACUCGCGAUGUAAACGCGAACUUAUGAUUUCAAAUUAUGGUAUUUGAAGUUAUUUUC